CACGCCGUAAACGUUGAGAACUAAGUGUUGGGGAGACCCAGUGCUGAAGCUAACGCAUUAAGUUCUCCGCCUGAGGAGUACGCACGCAAGUGUAAAACUUAAAGGAAUUGACGGGGGCCCGCACAAGCAGUGGAGCAUGUGGUUUAAUUCGAAGCAACGCGAAGAACCUUACCAGGUCUUGACAUCCUUAUGCCCGCUCUAGAGAUAGAGUUUUCCCUUCGGGGACAUAAGUGACAGGUGG
rnacentral:rRNA from 1 species